CCUACGGGAGGCAGCAGUGAGGAAUAUUGGUCAAUGGGCGCGAGCCUGAACCAGCCAAGUAGCGUGAAGGAUGACUGCCCUACGGGUUGUACACUUCUUUUAUAAAGGAAUAAAGUGAGGCACGUGUGCCUGUUUGUAUGUACUUUAUGAAUAAGGAUCGGCUAACCCCGUGCCAGCAGCAGCGGUAAUACGGAGGAUCCGAGCGUUAUCCGGAUUUUCUGGGUUUAAAGGGAGCGUAGAUGGGUUGUUAAGGCAGUUGUGAAAGUUUGCGGCUCAACCGUAAAAUUGCAAUGGAUACUGGCAGCCUUGAGGACAGUUGAGGUAGGCGGAAUUCGUGGUGGAGCAGUGAUAUGCUUAG
rnacentral:rRNA from 1 species